AUCAGCAACAAUUACUUUGGCCUAUUCUUUGGGUUUUUAGCCAUGCUUGUCGGAUUAUCCUUUCAUGCAAAUAAACUGGAACAAGUCUGUGCGAACGACAGGAAUGUGUAUGUGUGUGUUUGUGAGUGAGUGUGCAAUAGACAAUUUUGACAAAGUUGGCAACAAAUUAAUUUGAAUGAAAUGUGUGAAAUAUUUUAAGCUGACAAAUGUACAUAAAAAAGAAAGAAAAAAAUUGCAGAAUGUCGAAUUGAAUUUUGUGUCAAUUGUCAUUGGAUUUUCAUAAAUAUUGAAAUUUAUCGCCUUAAACGGAUUACGAGGACGUCAAUGGGAAAUUUCCGGAAGCUGAAAUAUUGUUCAGAUCUGGUACCAAACAUUUUCAUAUAUAUUUAAAAUGUGCGCGAUAAAAAUAUAAAAUAUAUGUGGAAAUCAAAUUGAGGGCAGAAGGUUACCAAGAAGCAGAAACAUAAUUCGAAACAUAUUCAAAUCAUCACUACGAAAAUAAAUCUGCAAUAUACUAUUCACAGGAAAUGGGCGAAUUCUCACAUCACUAAUGCCUUUGGUGGUAAUCAACAAAUGAAGUACGUGUUCUUGGUAAAAGCAUUUGCCAGAAUUUAAUAACCAUUUUACAUGUAUUGUCGCCCGGGCAUGAUAAACACAAGUAUUUCCCUUAGAUGUUCAGUGGAGCACUUCAAAUGUAGAUGGGAAUCAUGUAUUUGGUGUCAAUGUCACUAAUUCAAUUACGCGUUCAUUGGACAAGACGAGGGUCAUUGAUUUUUGAAUGUUGCUGUUGUUGUAGUCGUUGAUGGAGCCCCUUUCCAUUACAGCUCACACAAGGUUUUGCAGGUAUUUCAAUCAAUUGCAAGUCUUUGUCUUGUGUCUAAAAAUAGAUAACGUUCAGAUACGAAAUAAUAAUUUGAAAGCAGCUGUAUGAAAUUUUAAAGAUAAUAACGCCUUAAAAUAUGCGUCAUAAAUAAUUAUUAUGAAUUUCAUUAGAACUUUGAUGUGCUGUUGCUAUUUCUUGUAAUGAAAAUGAAAAUAAACGAAUUAAAAUCCAGUGCCAUUGACUUUUCCGAACAAAAGAUA